AUUGAACGCUGGCGGCAUGCUUUACACAUGCAAGUCGAACGGCAGCGCGGGCUUCUGCCUGGCGGCGAGUGGCGGACGGGUGAGUCAUGCAUCGGAACGUGCCCAGUGGUGGGGGAUCGCCCGGCGAAAUCCGGAUUAAUACCGCAUACGAGCUGAAGCUGAAAGCGGGGGACCCAAAGGCCUUGCGCUCUUGGAGCGGCCGAUGUCGGAUUAGCUAGUUGGUGGGGUAAAGGCUUACCAAGGCGACGAUCCGUAGCUGGUCUGAGAGGACGACCAGCCACACUGGGACUGAGACACGGCCCAGACUCCUACGGGAGGCAGCAGUGGGGAAUUUUGGACAAUGGGGGCAACCCUGAUCCAGCCAUGCCGCGUGCGGGAAGAAGGCCUUCGGGUUGUAAACCGCUUUUGUUCGGGAAGAAAUCCUCUUGGCUAAUACCCCGGGGGGAUGACGGUACCGGAAGAAUAAGCACCGGCUAACUACGUG
rnacentral:rRNA from 1 species